UUUUUCUAUUGUGUGCACUAUGUGAUGCACGAUAUCGGUUUAUCUACAUAGAUAUUGGUGACAAUGGAAGUCGGAGUAAUGGUGGAAAGAUCGCAGACGAACAAUUUUCCGCUUGUUUGUCGCACAUAUUCACUGUUUGAAGAACGAACGGAAAAUGUAUUUGUAUGUCAUGUAUGGCGAAACGAUUUCAUACAGAUCGAAGGCACAUGUGUGUUGUGUAUGGCCCCUUUAAUAUGGAUAAGAUGAUACGAAACUCUUUGAUUCGAGAGAGAGCUGUCAAAAUUCACAUUU